GCAAGUCGAACGGUGAAGCCCAGCUUGCUGGGUGGAUCAGUGGCGAACGGGUGANUAACACGUGAGCAACCUGCCCCAGACUUCGGGAUAAGCCUUGGAAACGAGGUCUAAUACUGGAUAUGAGGUCACAUCGCAUGGNGUGGUCUGGAAAGAUUUAUCGGUCUGGGAUGGGCUCGCGGCCUAUCAGCUUGUUGGUGGGGUAGUGGCCUACCAAGGCGACGACGGGUAGCCGGCCUGAGAGGGCGACCGGCCACACUGGGACUGAGACACGGCCCAGACUCCUACGGGAGGCAGCAGUGGGGAAUAUUGCACAAUGGGCGCAAGCCUGAUGCAGCGACGCCGCGUGAGGGAUGAAGGCCUUCGGGUUGUAAACCUCUUUCAGCAGGGAAGAAGCGCAAGUGACGGUACCUGCAGAAGAAGCGCCGGCUAACUACGUGCCAGCAGCCGCGGUAAUACGUAGGGCGCAAGCGUUGUCCGGAAUUAUUGGGCGUAAAGAGCUCGUAGGCGGUCUGUCGCGUCUGGUGUGAAAACUCAAGGCUCAACCUUGAGCUUGCAUCGGGUACGGGCAGACUAGAGUGCGGUAGGGGAGACUGGAAUUCCUGGUGUAGCGGUGGAAUGCGCAGAUAUCAGGAGGAACACCGAUGGCGAAGGCAGGUCUCUGGGCCGCAACUGACGCUGAGGA
rnacentral:rRNA from 1 species